rnacentral:sRNA from 1 species
GGGAGAGCCGCGGGCUUUGCGGCCGCCGCCAUGCCGUCGUCCCCGCUGCGGGUGGCAGUGGUGUGCUCGAGCAACCAGAACCGGAGCAUGGAGGCGCACAACAUCCUCAGCAAACGGGGAUUCAGUGUCCGAUCCUUUGGAACAGGGACUCACGUGAAGCUUCCAGGACCAGCUCCCGACAAGCCCAAUGUUUAUGAUUUCAAAACCACAUAUGACCAGAUGUACAAUGAUCUUCUUAGGAAAGACAAAGAACUCUAUACACAGAAUGGGAUUUUACAUAUGCUGGACAGAAAUAAGAGAAUCAAGCCCCGGCCAGAAAGGUUCCAGAACUGCAAAGACCUGUUUGAUCUGAUCCUCACUUGCGAAGAGAGAGUGUAUGACCAGGUGGUGGAAGGUGAGGAGGCGGCUGCGCGCUGGGCUGGGCUCCAGCAGCUCUCACAGGGUCUGGGGACACCUGCGGGGCCCCACCCUGACCACAGCCGGUCUAGAGUGGCGGGGGCCAGGGGGCAGACCUGAGUGCGAAGCACCCUGGAAGGCAGGGGGGGCUGCUGGUCGCUGAACCACCCAUGUCCUGGCUACAGCCUCGUGGGCUUCAAGGGGGCUCUUUUCUCCUCGU